CCCUGGAGGGCAGCCAGAAGAGAAUGGAAUCAGCCAGGAAUGGAGAGAGCAGUGUUCUGUGACAUGACAAAUCUCCUGUGUGCCUCAGUCUGGGUGACUGUCAAGAAUAAUAACCUUUGCUUACCUCACUAAGAAGAGCAUCACCUCCCCUGAGGCUGACUGGCCUUCUGUCACUGGCAGAAACUGAUGCUGAAUUCCUAGAAUGUACAUAGGAGGAGCCUUUACAUCUUGAGAUUGA
rnacentral:lncRNA from 1 species